rnacentral:lncRNA from 1 species
CUCAUUUUAACGUUAUGCUUUUCACAUAAUUUCUGAUACGUGCUCUGGUUCAUAGCUAUUGUCCUGGGAGUAUUCUUAAUAGUGCCAUCUUCGAUAUUCAAGUGUAUUUAGUGUGGACGGCAAAUUAUAUGGCCUUCUGUCUAUGGUUUGUCUCAUUCGUUACCUUUCUUUCAGCAACCUCUUUUCUCCUUCUAGCCCCCUUACCUGGUCAAGUGUCAUCUGUGCAUCAAUGCAAGUCUUCUCUACUCCAAACCCAGGCUCCCACCUGCUGCCGGAGGAAACCCCAGUGCCACACGGGGUGGCGCCACUUGCGUUGACAGCAUUCUCGAGUUUUCUGAUUGUGACAUUCAUUCAUAGACCUUCCUGUCCGGCCAAUCUCUGAAUCAACUGGUAAGUCUCAACUUGAGCAUCACACCAUCUGAGGAGAGUUUCCUUGUCUGCCUCAUACACAACCUACUUAGGCACAUCAGCAGAUCCAGGUAAUUUCAUCAGUCAUCAUCCACAGAACCCUGACCUUUCGUUACUAUCGGACUUAGC